CGGCGGACGGGUGAGUAACGCGUGGGUAACCUGCCUCAUACAGGGGGAUAACAGUUGGAAACGGCUGCUAAUACCGCAUAAGCGCACAGUACCGCAUGGUACGGUGUGAAAAACUCCGGUGGUAUGAGAUGGCCCGCGUCUGAUUAGGUAGUUGGUGGGGUAACGGCCUACCAAGCCGACGAUCAGUAGCCGACCUGAGAGGGUGACCGGCCACAUUGGGACUGAGACACGGCCCAA
rnacentral:rRNA from 1 species